AUUUCAACAUUUAACGAUGUGUUUCAGUAUCAUAAAAGCAAUGCAGAUUCUUUCAGACUUGUCAUAUUUCUUUUCAGUUGGUGAGGGCGAGUGUUUUUUUUUUGCGGUUUCAUUUGUCGUGGUGUCAGGAGCCUUGCAAACAGACGGCAUUAGGCAGACCAACCUAAAAUAUACAGCUUUUUAAUGUAAUUUGAGGAGAGGACCUGUACUUCCAUGACUGAGCUACAUAAGUGUUUUCCCAAAAUGGCCAGAGAGUGAACCGAUUCACCUUGAAAGAAGCUUUGAGCGUUGAGUGGAGGGAAUCCUGAUGUGGAACUGGAGCAGAGUGAUUCUAAAACAUUUUGAAAGGGAAGGGAAAAUAUACAACG